rnacentral:lncRNA from 1 species
GACAAACAGGCAGCUAUGAGUACUGAAGGGAAAGUCGGGUGGGAGGAAAUUGUGGAUUCACGACUGGACGGUAAGUUUGACUUGCAAGAACUCAACGAAAUAGCAGCUCUUGCGUAUAAAUGUGUGAAUCGGGUUCCCAAAAAACGACCUUCCAUGAGGGACAUUGUGCAAGUGCUAACACGAAUCCUUAAAACAAGACACCGCAAGAAGCAUCAGAAGUCCCUAUCUGCAACCGCAGAUGAGGUUUUGGUCGACGUAGAGCAAGGAGAAACAAAGAACCCAAUAACCGAACACCAGAGAGAGGAGUCCAUGGACAGUGCAGCUGACACCUUUGAAAUGUAACAUAGCUGAUACCAGCGGUUCUUCCAUUUGUUAAUUUGUUA